rnacentral:rRNA from 1 species
CGUGUAGGCGGCCUUCUAAGUCUGGUGUGAAAGCCCGGGGCUUACCCCCGGAAGGGCACUGGAAACUGGGAGGCUAGAGUACCGGAGAGGAGGGUGGAAUUCCUGGUGUAGCGGUGAAAUGCGUAGAUAUCAGGAGGAACACCGGUGGCGAAGGCGGCCCUCUGGACGGAUACUGACGCUGAGACGCGAAAGCGUGGGGAGCAAACAGGAUUAGAUACCCUGGUAGUCCACGCUGUAAACGAUGGGCACUAGGUGUUCGGGGUAUUGACCCCCUGAGUGCCGCAGCUAACGCAUUAAGUGCCCCGCCUGGGGACUACGGCCGCAAGGUUAAA